CUUGUCUGUUGUGCUGACCGAAACUUUCCCAGGUUUCAGGCACCAUGUGAUGUGCUGAGUAGAAGCCAGGCUCCUUUCUGUGUGACUAAGGUACACUCAUGCAGCCAUGGAGGGAUCAGAAGUCAGAAAGCAUUUUGAGGAGUUUGGGGCACCCCAUAAAUGUGGUGGUAUGAUAUCUUCUUGUCCCUGGCUUGUCAUCCUUACUGCAAGGAGGCCCUUUCCUGGCAAAGAGAACCAUCAGUGGCCCAAAGUCACAAUCAAUUAAAGCACUCAUUGACUGUUUUCCCUUCUGCCCAGUAGAAGAGGGGACUCUUGAAAAUUGGCAUCAAGUUUUACUCAUAUUUAGGAACUCGACAGAAACAGCCUCUGGUCAAAUGGCAUAUUGGAGUUAUCAGAUAAAAGAUGCUAUUUUGUAUAAGCAAAUGAGCCCUUUGCAGUCCUUUUGUGAAUUAUCUAUGGCCUGAAUGCUGUACUGCUCAGCAUUCUGUUCCAUAAACAUCUAUUUAAUGAGUUAAUUCUUUCCUAUAUUUCUGUUGUUGGAGUGAGCUCACAGACUCUCCAUACAGGCCGUUUUCAUAUUGCUUGAUUAAUGUUCUGUUGUUAAUGUGCCUCAUAAGACCUGGAUCACAGGCUUUAUUGAAAUGGGAUUUUUAGAGUUUCAGGGGCAGCACUCAUGUUUGUGGACUCUAUCCUAAGAGGUAACUCCAGCACUAAGUAUUCAGAAUGAGUAAAUUAAAAAAAAUAAAAAUGAAUGGCUAAAUUUUGUAAACAUCAACACAGGAGAACAACUUGGGUGACUGCUGAAUCUUUGGAAAAAGUUACAGAUGUAGUUUGAAAAUAGGCUGCAUGUAUGGUGGUAUAUCCCAUUCUGGAAGUGUAGUAAGAUAUGUCAUGAGCUUUGUAAUGUUUUGAGCAACCAAUUAAAAAAAAUUAAAAAAAAAGAAAAGAAAAAAAAUACAUCUUAUUAAAAUAACUCUAAUGUUUAAAAAAAAAAAGUUUUGUUGGUUGAUAUGGAGUAUGACAAAUAUGUCCAUUUUUCAUUUUCAAGUAUUAGAUCCGUUGGUUGAUGUUAAGAUUAGUAUUUCCCAAAGAGGUAUAGCGUUUGGAUUUUUAUCAUUGUGUAUAUUAUGAUAUUUAUAUCACACCAUAUUACUUUAAAAUGGAAAGUUAAAGAGUGGUCUUUUAGGGGCUGGGAAUAUAGCUCAGUGGCUAAGUGCUUGCCUAUCAUGUACAAGGUCCUGGGUUUGAUCCCCAGCACUACCAAAAAACAAACGCAAAACAAACAAACAAAAACAACUAACAAGCAAACCAGAAAAUAUCCCUCCAAAUAAUGGCUUUUUUAUAUGUUGAACAUUUCAGCUAUUAAUAACUACCCAGUAAUUAUCAUUUGAAACUGUCAUUAUAAAAAAACAAAAUAACUUUCCUAUCUAGCAGACUUCAUCUA
rnacentral:lncRNA from 1 species